UAAGCGCAGGAGAAGAAACUAACCAGGAUUUCCCUAGUAACGGCGAGCGAACCGGAAAGAGCCCAGCUUGAAAAUCGGGGYGCCUCGCRCCUCGAGUUGUGGUCUGGAGAAGGUCCCUCUGCGACGCGCCGGACCCAAGUUCCCUGGAAAGGGACGUCAKAGAGGGUGACAGCCCCGUCGAGUCCGAGACGCGUCGCUCCACGAGAGCCUGUCUGCGAGUCGGGCUGUUUGGGAAUGCAGCCCUAAGUGGGUGGUAAAUUCCAUCCAAGGSUAAAUAUGGGCAAGAGACCGAUAGCGAACAAGUACCGCGAGGGAAAGAUGAAAAGGACUUUGAAAAGAGAGUUAAAAAGUGCUUGAAAUUGCUGGGAGGGAAGCGAAUGGAAGCUGCGGGUGCGCCCCGGUUGGAUGUGGAACGGCUUCGGCUGGUCCGCCGCUCAACGCGGGACGCUGGUCAGCGUGGGCCGUCGCGCCGGGACAAGARCGGGGAUUCGCUUUCCGCCUAUGCCGGUGCGGCGGCCGAGGAACGAAGCGCGCGCCUCCUUGGCGUGGGGUUCGCCCCAACUGCGCGCUCGGGACGCUGGCGUAUUGAGCUCUUCAUCCGACCCGUCUUGAAACACGGACCAAGGAGUCUAACAUGUAUGCGAGCCGGUGGGCGGCAAACCCAUUGAGGCGCAAGUAAACUGACAGGUGGGACCCCGACCGCCGAGGGAGGGAGCACCAUCGACCGACCGUGAUCUUCUGUGAAAGGUUUGAGUGYGAGCAUACCUGUUGGGACCCGAAAGAUGGUGAACUAUGCCUGAGCAGGGCGAAGCCAGAGGAAACUCUGGUGGAGGCUCGUAGCGAUACUGACGUGCAAAUCGUUCGUCAGACUUGGGUAUAGGGGCGAAAGACUAAUCGAACCAUCUAGUAGCUGGUUCCCUCCGAAGUUUCCCUCAGGAUAGCUGGAGCUCGUGUAMAAGUUUUAUCAGGUAAAGCGAAUGAUUAGAGGCAUCGGGGGUGUAACACCCUCGACCUAUUCUCAAACUUUAAAUAGGUAAGCCGCCGGGGUUGCUUGGUUGAACCCCGGCACAGAAUGAGAGCUCCAAGUGGGCCAU
rnacentral:rRNA from 1 species